UCUAAGUAGACUGCGAGCCCUGGACUUG
rnacentral:piRNA from 1 species